rnacentral:rRNA from 1 species
CGCCGCGGUAAUACGGAGGGUGCAAGCGUUAAUCGGAAUUACUGGGCGUAAAGCGCACGCAGGCGGUCUGUCAAGUCAGAUGUGAAAUCCCCGGGCUUAACCUGGGAACUGCAUUUGAAACUGGCAGGCUAGAGUCUUGUAGAGGGGGGUAGAAUUCCAGGUGUAGCGGUGAAAUGCGUAGAGAUCUGGAGGAAUACCGGUGGCGAAGGCGGCCCCCUGGACAAAGACUGACGCUCAGGUGCGAAAGCGUGGGGAGCAAACAGGAUUAGAUACCCUGGUAGUCCACGCCGUAAACGAUGUCGACUUGGAGGUUGUGCCCUUGAGGUGUGGCUUCCGGAGCUAACGCGUUAAGUCGACCGCCUGGGGAGUACGGCCGCAAGGUUAAAACUCAAAUGAAUUGAC